rnacentral:rRNA from 1 species
AUUGAACGCUGGCGGCAGGCUUAACACAUGCAAGUCGAGCGGUAGAGGGGAGCUUGCUUCCCUUGAGAGCGGUGGACGGGUGAGUAAUGCCUAGGAAUCUGCCUGGUAGUGGGGGACAACGUUCGGAAACGGACGCUAAUACCGCAUACGUCCUACGGGAGAAAGUGGGGGAUCUUCAGACCUCACGCUAUCAGAUGAGCCUAGGUCGGAUUAGCUAGUUGGUGGGGUAAAGGCCCACCAAGGCGACGAUCCGUAACUGGUCUGAGAGGAUGAUGAGCAACACUGGAACUGGGACACGGUCCAGACUCCUACGGGAGGCAGCAGUGGGGAAUAUUGGACAAUGGGCGAAAGCCUGAUCCAGCCAUGCCGCGUGUGUGAAGAAGGUCUUCGGAUUGUAAAGCACUUUAAGUUGGGAGGAAGGGCGCUCGGUGAAUACCCAGGCGUCUUGACGUUACCGACAGAAUAAGCACCGGCUAACUUCGUGCCAGCAGCCGCAGUAACAC